UUGACCUCAAAUCAGGUAGGACUACC
rnacentral:rRNA from 10 species